CUGUUUGUUUGAAUGUUUGCAGGAUGACAACCUUUUUCUUAGCUUUGCUGGUGUUUUCAGCAAUGUUGACAGAUAUUAUGGCACAACCACCACAAGAACUGAUAGUCAACAUCACCAUACUUCACAGUGCCACUGCUGAAGGCGCAGUGUGCCUAGAUGGGAGCCCCCCGGCAUAUCAUCUUGAUCAGGAUAUGGUAGCGGACUUCACAGCUGGAUCAUCACCAUUGAUGGGGGUGGUUGGUGCCAGAGCAUCUCGGAUUGCCGUAGUCGUUCAACUAGCGACUUAGGUUCUUCCACAAAGAUGCAGCCGCCAGAAGCUAAGUUUUCGGGGAUUCUUCAUAACGAUCCCAGAACUAAUCCAGGUGAACUAAGCUCAUAUUUCAGUUACUUAUUUACAAUUGUUCUUUUUCUUUGUAUGUGUAUUUUAAGCAGUUACUAAUUGUAAAAUUUGAGUUGGUAAACUUUUACAAUUGGAAUAGAGUGAGGGUUAGAUAUUGUGAUGGAUCAUGUUGAAGAUGUUGACCCUGUAAGUAGUAGUACAUAUAUCUCUUUAAUUUGUUGGAAAAUUAUUUUGAGUGCUAUUUAUAUUGCUUUACAUAAAAGUUAAAACUUUACUGAUUUGAAAAAGUCUAACUAUGUUAGGAUACCAAACUUUAUUAUAGAGGAGCAAGAAUCUUCAGAGCCAUUAUGAAUAAUUUAUCCAGAAAAGGAAUGCAAACUGCUGAAAAUGCAAUCCUAAGCGGAACUUUAACUGGAGGAUUGGCUACAACUGUGACAAGUUCAAAUCCUUCUUUCCUGUUGAUGCGAGAGUAAAGUGCGUUGCGGAUGCAGGCUUCUUCAUUAACACGAAGACAAUCUCUGGUACUUCAGAUAUUCAAGAUGAGUAUAACAGAGUCGUUAAUUUACAUGUGAGUCUCAUUGUCUUUUUCGUUUUAGUAAGAUAUACAACACGCUUAAUUAAUAAGCAGUUUUGAUUGCUUUAAUAUUUCUUUUUUCCUUUUGUUUAAGAGGUCGGCUAAGAAUUUGCCUACAUCUUGCACCUCUACAAUAGAUCCAAGCUUGGUAAGAGUUUAAAUUUUAAUUUGGAAACAAAUAAACUCUUAUGCUAUAUUUUUAUUGCCCUCUACUAACAUUAGUAUAUCUUGUACUAUCGAAAAAGGUUUAAAAAUAUCCUCUGUUAUACUAUUUGGUUAUUUCGACCCAUACCAUUAUACUAUCAUUCAAAUAUACCCCUUCCUUGGACGGAAUACCACGUGGAUUAAAGAGACCCAUCCCCUUUUUUUACCUGAUUCAAUUCCCCUCUACCCAUAACCCGACCCAAGUCAGCUCUUUUUAUAAAAAAAAAAACCCUAAAUGAGUGGAAUCAACUUUCAUGAACAUCUUCUCUAAUUUUCCUCUUCUCUUUUCCAUUUCCUUUUCCUUUAAUUCUUCUACUUUUUUUUUUCUUACUCCUUACCCAUUAUAACAGAAACGAUUGUAUAUAUAGAUUGAUUUUGGGUUUACAUAAAAUCAGAAAAUUUUCUAUCCAUAUAUCUAUCAACCAAGUAAUUUGGUUUUGAAAUCAUGACCUUAUUGAAGAAGAAAAGCCACCCAUCUUCUCUGACAUCUCAUUCUUUUGGCAUGAAGCUUGGGCUAAAAUUUAAACCAAACAUAAAUAGAUUUCCAAGAACAAGAGGACUCGGGUUCGAUUACAAGAAUUUUGAGGCUCAAGUCUGCAUUUUUAUCAGACAAGUAGAAGGCAACCACGUCAUACCUGCAAAAUCACCCGUGGAUUGUCUCAACGUUGUUAGCAUAAAAAUUGAAAAUCAUCACUGCGUCUAGUACUCAAAAAGAGGAAAACAAAACGUGCCAAAAACAGACGCAAGAUAUAAAGAUUAAAGCCUAUAUUUACAUGAACAUAGUGACCUAUUAAAGUAUGUUGUUGGUUUGGCUGCUAACGAAAUCAUUAUAGUAAUAUGAGGGGUUUAAUUGGAUAGGGCUGUUUUUAAGCGGAUGGGUAUGAGUCUAAUUGGGGUUAUCUUAGUAUUGAACCGGGUAUUUUAAUUUGGAGUGACACUCUUUAAUUCUGAUGAAACAAGAGGGGUUGCUCUGAUGGUAAGCAACUUCCACUUCCAACCAAGAUGUUGUGAGUUC